rnacentral:sRNA from 12 species
CACCGGCAAGCGCAGGAAAGGUAGAGGCCGCUUCUUGCAAGUGGCAGCCCGAAUGGGUGGGAUCCUCGGUUCCUGGGGCCAUAGAUCAU